rnacentral:rRNA from 1 species
ACGAAGGGGGCUAGCGUUGUUCGGAAUUACUGGGCGUAAAGCGCGUGUAGGCGGGUCUUUAAGUCAGGGGUGAAAUGCCAAGGCUCAACCUUGGAACUGCCUUUGAUACUGGAGAUCUUGAGUCCGGGAGAGGUGAGUGGAAUUGCGAGUGUAGAGGUGAAAUUCGUAGAUAUUCGCAAGAACACCAGUGGCGAAGGCGGCUCACUGGCCCGGAACUGACGCUGAGACGCGAAAGCGUGGGGAGCAAACAGG